GCCCCCAUAGCUCAAUGGUAGAGCAGCUGCCUUUUAAGCAGUUGACCUAGGUUCGAUUCCUAGUGGGGGCACCA
rnacentral:tRNA from 1 species